GAGUACAUAGCUCAGUGGUAGAGCACUUAACUUAUAUUCAAGUUCCUGAGUUCA
rnacentral:tRNA from 1 species